rnacentral:rRNA from 1 species
UACGUAGGGGGCUAGCGUUGUCCGGAAUCAUUGGGCGUAAAGCGCACGUAGGCGGCGCGUUAAGUCGGGUGUGAAAGCCCUGGGCUCAACCCAGGAAGUGCAUUCGAAACUGGCGCGCUUGAAUAUGGAAGAGGGUCGCGGAAUUCCCGGUGUAGAGGUGAAAUUCGUAGAUAUCGGGAGGAACACCAGUGGCGAAGGCGGCGACCUGGGCCAAUAUUGACGCUGAGGUGCGAAAGCGUGGGGAGCAAACAGG